UGAAGCAUGAUGAUAAACCAAUUUCGGUCCUUUAGAGCGGGACUAACGUCCUGGGUUCUCUGCCGUUACCAAAAUGUGGUCGUUCCUUCACCGUUCUGGUGAAUUGGUGACGAACACUGGUGAUUUGUGUAGUGGGACCCACCAGCGAUGAAUGGACUAAUUUCAAAUGUCAUAGUUACACUGAGCUUCA